UACGAAGGGGCUAGCGUUGCUCGGAAUUACUGGGCGUAAAGCGCACGUAGGCGGUCUUUUAAGUCGGGGGUGAAAUCCUGGAGCUCAACCCCAGAACUGCCUUCGAUACUGGAAGACUUGAGUCCGGGAGAGGUGAGUGGAACUGCGAGUGUAGAGGUGAAAUUCGUAGAUAUUCGCAAGAACACCAGUGGCGAAGGCGGCUCACUGGCCCGGUACUGACGCUGAGGUGCGAAAGCGUGGGGAGCAAACAGG
rnacentral:rRNA from 1 species